rnacentral:SRP_RNA from 1 species
GCCAGGCAUGGUGGUGCGCGCCUGUAAUCCCAGCUACUCAGGAGGCUGAGGCAGGAGAAUCACUUGAACCUAGGAGGCGGGGAUUGUAGUGAGCCGAGAUUGCACCACUGCACUCCAGCCUGGGUGACAGAGUGAGACUCUGUCUCAA